UGAUUAUAAAGUGUUUGCGUAUCACAACAAUAAACUCUGUAAGUUUAAAAAUGUGCCUUGCCAUAUUGUGUUGGUUAGGUAAACAUAGCGGUUUUACUAAAAAUGCAGAUAUUUGGAAAGCUCAGAAGCCAAUCAAUUUGUUACAAUUUUUUUCAAAACAAUUUAAUAUGUGCUUCAGAUGACACUGUAUUGUUAAAUCUUUCAGUUGGCAAUGCACGUAAGGCACUACUCUAAAGUAUUCACAAGAAGAAAAAAAUGGGGCCCUCCAUUUGAAAAGAUGCAGUUCCGGGUAUUUGAAGUUUCCCAAACGUAACCUUAAUUUUGGAGAACACAGAAUUAUUUGAAGAAUUAUCGUAUUCAAACGCAAUAUGCAAUGUUAAUUGUACAAGGUUGUAUACAUACAAUACUUUAAACCAAACAAUACCAAAUACUCCAUUGUUAUAUUCUCACGAAAAUGAAACCCUCAAGCUUUGUAACAAAAGCACUUCUAGUAUUGACUCUUACUGUCUACUACAACUUUACAAAAUAAGAAAAGAAUCUAAUAUAUCACUCGUGAUAUAUCCACUAGGAAUUUGGAACUCAUUAGUGUUUAGUGAAAAAUUACAUUCAUUUUUAGUAACAGAAAAACGUCUAAACUUUCAUAAAUUUCAACUGAAGCUAGGCAAACAAAAUGCCACACAAGGAAGCAUUAUGGAUAAUGUCAUCGAAGAUAAUACAAGCGAUAAGCAAUUGAAUGAAAUUUCCUCUUAUUUUCAGCAUUUCUUCAAUUCUAAUAUUGAUAUUUUGUAUUUUGAAAAGUUAGGACGCAAAGAGAAUGGGAAGGAAUGGACGGAUCUGCUUGGAGCUGUUGUUAACGAAGAAGUAGACUUGGGUUUGGAUACAAUUAUCAAGACUGAAGAAAGAUAUUACGAUAUGGCAUUUACUCACAACAUACUGACAUCAAUGCGCAAUAUCUACAUAAAACAUCAACCAUCUAACGAACUUAGAGACAUUUAUUUGAUACCUUUCGGAACAAAACUAAUUCUCUUUGUGAUGAUCACCGGAUUUGUUUUAUGUCUUUUAAUGACUCUCAUAAACAAAGUAACAAAUAAAAUUACAAAAAAUGAAAAAAACACUAAAGAUAAUUCAUUCGGUGAAGCAACCAUUUGGUGUAUUGGUAUUUUCACGAUGCAAGGAAGUUUAUGGUCACCUAUAACAUAUUCAGGAAAUAUAAUUUUAAUAACUUCACUUGCAUUUGCUUUGGUUAUUUUUAAUUCAUAUUCGGCUUUUAUAACAUCUAUACUUUCAGUUGAGUUGUCUAGUAUUCGAUCAGUUGAAGAUCUUCUUGAAAGUAACUACAAUAUUGGAUACGUCAAGAAUAGUCAAGAUGAAGUGUACUUGAGAUCGAUGAAUGAUUCACAAUUGCAACAAAUUUAUCUAAGAGGUUAUUUAUACAAUACUGUGGGAAAUGUGACUGAAGGGCUUUAUAAAAGUUACAAGGGUCAUUACGGAUUUUUUGCUUCCACUAAUAUUGCUAGAAAAGAAUUGCAACGGAUAAAUCAUUACAAAUGUAAUUAUGAAAUAAUGGAAAUACCAAUAAUGAAAACAAAGAAUACUAUUGCAUUUCCCUUGGCGAAAAAUUCGCAUUACAAGAAAGUUAUUGAUUUAAGUAUUAUGAAAAUGUAUGAAACUGGAAUUUAUAAAUAUUUUUACUCCAUGGUUGUCCCAUCUUACUCAAAAUGUGAUCAAAGAAGAAUUUUUCGAAGUGCACAUUUGCCCGACUUAUCUUCUGCGUUUGGAAUCUUAAUAAUUGGUGUUAAACUCUCGCUUAUUAUAAUUAUAGCUGAGUGUUUAUGGAAGAGGAAAAGUGUAAUAUAUUUGAAAAUAAAGAAAAAUUGUUUGAAGAAAAAUUUAUAUCAUCGUGGACAGCAGAGUGAUGAAGGGGUUUUAAGUCAAAAGCUGGAGCAAAUUUAAAAUAAUACAUGAUUUAAUAGUCGAUUAUUUGACAAGUAAAGAAAAGAGGUGGUUUACUAUCGAGUGAAAACAGAUUGAUUUAUGAACGUUAGAAAAAUAAAACUCCCAUGGAAUCGUACAUCAAUCUUUUCCUCAAGACAGAAUUAACAAUAAUACCACGCCUUUUAGACAAAUAUAUCGGAAAUUAUUACAAUAACACAUUAUGUAAUGGUAC